CAAUGGUAACUGAUGACUUGUCUUCCAAAGAAUUGUGAGUGGAAUUUGGACGUGGUAACCCCAAUGUCGACAGUUUGUGACGCCAAAUCAAACUUUUUCCUCCAAAACCUCCUCCAGUUGUCCAAAUGGUGACGAUGACUAUUUGAUGCACUGAUAUUCCAGGUGUUGGUCGUUCAAGAACUCUCUAGCGUGAGCCUUUUCGCCGCUGAUCCAGCAACACCCAGGGCGUGGAGUGCACAGCAGGCCUCGUGAGUAUGAGAUCGCACUGUGCACUGAACUCAGGGCUGUGUACGACUUACAUUGGUGG